GGCUCAGUGGUCCAAUGAUAAAGCGCUUGUUGCAGAGCUAGAGGGUCCUGGGUUCGAUCCCCAACAGGGUCG
rnacentral:tRNA from 1 species